AACUACUUUCAGCCAAUGGCGUACAUACACGGCGAGCAGGGCGCCAUAUUUUAAACAGUUGUCGCCAUUUUGUUCUCCAGAAGCUGAGCGGAAAAGUGUUCUAGCGAUCAAUUGCAAGAAUAUUUCGACAGUUCGAGAAUACACACACAAAGAUGGCAGAAGACUGGCCACCAAGUAAGAUGACAAAGAUGUGAAGGAGGAAACUCUGCCAGAUAGGUGUACCUGGAGUCUAUGUGAUGUUUGCAUUUUGGGUUCAAAGAGUACAUCCAGCAGCACCACUGCCAGACUCACUACAACCAAAAGUGAUAAACAACCUUUUAU